UACAGAGGUCCUGAGCGUUGUUCGGAUUCAUUGGGCGUAAAGGGUGCGUAGGCGGCAUGGCAAGUCGGGUGUGGAAAUCCCGGGGCUCAACCCCGGAACUGCACUCGAUACUGCCGUGCUCGAGUGUUGGAGAGGAGAUCGUGGAAUUUACGGUGUAGCAAGUGAAAUGCGUAGAUAUCGUAAAGGAAGACGGGUGGCGAAGGCUAGUCUCUGGACAACUACUGACGCUGAGGCACGAAGGCCAGGGGAGCAAACGGG
rnacentral:rRNA from 1 species